rnacentral:rRNA from 1 species
UCCUAGUAUACUGUUUUGAGUUGGGGCGACUUCGGAAUAAAACAAAACUUCCGAGCACAGAACCACCACUUCUAACCAAGGCCAACAAGCCUAAGUUUAACCUGACCCGGCCUCAUGCCGAUCAACGAACCAAGUUACCCCGGGGAUAACAGCGCUAUCUUCUUAAAGAGUCCCUAUCAACAAGAAGGUUUACGACCUCGAUGUUGGAUCAGGACACCCUA